ACAAGAGUAUGUGGGGGAUGCCUGGGUACACAGAGGCGAUGAAGGCCGUGGUAAGCUGCGAUAAGUCAGGGGGAGUGGCACACACACAGUGAUCCCUGAAUUGCCGAAUGGGGAAACCCGGCUGUCAGCGAUGACAGUCACUCGCUUAGGCGAGAGCAAACCGAGGGAACUGAAACAUCUAAGUACCUCGAGGAAAGAGAAAUCAAAAGAGAUGCCCUGAGUAGCGGCGAGCGAAACGGGUAUAGCCCAAACCGGGGGUCUUCGGACCGCCGGGGUUGUAGGACCCACGGACGCGCUUGGUGACGUUAGCCGAAGUCUCCUGGAAAGGAGCGCCAUAGACGGUGACAGCCCGGUAGGUGAAGACUAAGAACCAAGCGUAGUGGAGUUCCUGAGUAACGCCCGAUACGAGGAGUCGGGCGUGAAACCGGGGGGACCACCCUCCAAGGCUAAAGACUCCUGUGUAACCGAUAGUGAACGAGUACCGUGAGGGACAGGUGAAAAGCACCCCAGUGCGGGGAGUGAAAUAGUUCCUGAAACCACAUACUUACAAGCGGUAGGAGGCUGGUCGGGAUCUUCGGAUCCCGAAACGGCUGACUGCGUGCCUUUUGCAUUAUGAUCCGGCGAGUUACUCCUCGGGAGCAAGGCUAAGCUGCUCUGCAGCGGAGCCACAGCGAAAGCGAGUCCUGUAAAGAGGGCGACUGAAGUUCCCGGGGGUAGACCCGAAGCCAGGGCGAUCUACCUAUGAGCAGGAUGAAGCGCGGGUAACACCGCGUGGAGGUCCGAACCGUUGUGGGUUGAAAACCGCUCGGAUGACUUGUGGGUAGGGGUGAAAGGCCAAUCAAGCCUGGAGAUAGCUGGUUCUCUCCGAAAUCUAUUGAGGUAGAGCCUUGAGGCGUGUUUGCAGGGGGUAGAGCGACUGGAUGGGCGCGGGGGAGCGUAGCUCCUACCAACCCCAACCAAACUCCGAAUACCUGACAAAUGGACCUUGGGAGGCAGUCGUUGAGCGAUAAUGUCCAACGGCGAGAGGGAAAGAACCCAGAACCACAGCUAAGGCCCCAAAGUGGCCGCUGAGUAUAGCGAAGGAUGUGUCCGUGCCGUGACAACUGGGAGGUUGGCUUAGAAGCAGCCAUUCCUUGAAAGAGUGCGUAAUAGCUCACCAGUCCAGCGUGGAUGCGCCGAGAAUGGUCGGGAUUAAGCGGCCCGCCGAAGCUUGGUCUUCACACUUUGUGUGAGGGGUAGGAGAGCGUUCCCCGUGCUGUGAAGCCCCGGUGAGAACCAAGGGGUGGAGCGAGGGGAAGUGAGGAUGCCGGAAUGAGUACGCGCAAAUCAGGGUGAAAACCCCUGACACCGAAAGCCCAAGGAUUCCUGCGCCAUGGCAAUCAGCGCAGGGUGAGGCGGACCCUAAGACGAGGCCCCAGAGGCGUAGUCGAUGGACAGUCGGUCAAUAUUCCGACCCCGCCGUACAAGCGCUAUCACCCAACAGGGGACACGGUAACGAAGUGAGAGCGGCCUUGUGGAUUGGCCGUCUAACCCGGUAGGCGAAAGCCGAGAGGGGAAUGCGAGGAUGCGGGGCAACCCAAUUCCAAGUCUUGUGGAGUCGACCGGCAAGAAAAGCCUGUUUGGGGAGUUUGUACGACGUCCGUACCGUAAACCGACACAGGUGGGCGAGGCGAGUAGCCUAAGGUGAACGAGUGAAACUAGGUCAAGGAACUCGGCAUAAUGAUCCCGUAACUUCGGAAGAAGGGAUGCCUUGUUCGGUAGUCGGCUUCGCGCCGGCUGCUAGGCAAGGCCGCAGAGAAUCGGUCCAAGCGACUGUUUAGCAAAAACACAGGUGAGUGCCAAGCCGCACAAGGCGCCGUAUACUCACUGACGCCUGCCCGGUGCCGGAAGGUUAAGGGGAGAGGUCAACCCGCAAGGGUGAAGCCUUGAGCCGAAGCCCCGGUAAACGGCGGCCGUAACUAUAACGGUCCUAAGGUAGGAAAGCUGCCUUAGUAAAAUUUGGCUAUAUGCUGGAAACCCUGAGUAUCUCGAGGUACGUCGGACAAUCACUUAUUCAAAACUGAAUCAGCGACUCGGCGUGACAAUCCUUCGAGUGCAGGCAAUCAGCAGGAAAGACUGACUUCGGUCAGAAUCCCCAGAGACUAUACGCCAAACACGCCCUUUCGAGCGUGAAGAUAUAGUCCGAGCUGCAUAGCGAUAUGCAGGGAGCAAGUGCUCCGCCUGUGGAGAUCACAGGUAACACAGCUAAGCGAAAUUCCUUGUCGGGUAGAAAUGAACUGCCCCGGACGGCAGCGAUGCCGUUCAAGCAAACCGGCUCAAAUCGGUGGAACCCUUCCGUUGUCGUGCAGGCAACGCGGGCAAUACCGAGGGUAAGACUGGAUCUCGUAGCCAGUCCCUGUAACGACUCAGGGUGUGAGAACCCUGGAUGGAAUCGGAGAGAGUAUCUUAUGAAUCCAUAACACGCCGGCCCUGUUAACUGAUGAAUUUUGAGUCCUACGUCUCAGGAUAUGUAGACGGUGAAGGGUGCUUCUGUGUCUCCUUUCAACCCAGCAAGCGGCAUCGCAUGGGUUGGGAGGUCCGGCCGAGCUUUUCGGUCAGUCAAAACGCAGAUAGAUCCGACCCGAUUUACAGAAUGCGCGAGUACUUCCGCUGUGGGUCUAUCAGGCCAGACAGGUCUGACAAGACGGUGAAGUAUGAAGUGCGCAGCGUAAGGGAGCUGCUGGAUUAUGUAAUCCCGCACUUCCGCACAUUUCCGAUGGUGUCAUCGAAGCAACGUGACGUGGAGCGGCUCGAGAAAGUUUGUCGGCUCAUAGCCAAUGGUGAUCAUCGAACCCGUGCAGGGUUCGAGCAGAU
rnacentral:rRNA from 1 species